rnacentral:tRNA from 1 species
AGUAGGGUGGCUCAGUGGAACGAGCACUGGCUUAAGAGUCAGAGGUCAUGGGUUCUAAUCCCUGCUCUGCCA